rnacentral:misc_RNA from 1 species
GGGAAGGUUAGAUAUAUCUGCCGUGAUCCACUAACUAUUGGACCAGGAUCAUUUCUGUCGCCCCAAUUUUCCAUGUAUUUUGGAACAUCUUCAGCCAACAUUACUGCAUGCUGACCAUGAGGUCUGUCGAUCAGUCGAAUGCUGUUUUUCAAUCUAGCAAGAAGUUUAGUCAAACUAUAACCAGCUUUCCCAUGUCUCUGGCUCUCUGUUAGGUACCCUUCUGCUUGAAGAACUUUUCCAUAUUUCUCAUAAUAUAUCAUUGGCAAAGAAGCA